rnacentral:rRNA from 1 species
UACGGUGGGUGCAAGCGUUAUCCGGAUUUACUGGGUUUAAAGGGUGUGUAGGCGGACUUUUAAGUCAGCGGUGAAAUCUCCGGGCUCAACCCGGAAACUGCCAUUGAUACUAUUAGUCUUGAAUGUUGUAGAGGUGGGCGGAACGGGUCAUGUAGCGGUGAAAUGCAUAGAUAUGACGAGGAACACCGAUUGCGAAGGCAGCCCACUAAGCAACUAUUGACGCUGAGGCACGAAAGCGUGGGGAUCAAACAGG